ACGAACGCUGGCGGCGUGCUUCACACAUGCAAGUCGAACGGAAAGGCCCUGCUUGCAGGGUACUCGAGUGGCGAACGGGUGAGUAACACGUGGGUGAUCUGCCCUGCACUUCGGGAUAAGCCUGGGAAACUGGGUCUAAUACCGGAUAGGAGCCAUUUUUAGUGUGAUGGUUGGAAAGUUUUUUCGGUGUAGGAUGAGCUCGCGGCCUAUCAGCUUGUUGGUGGGGUAAUGGCCUACCAAGGCGGCGACGGGUAGCCGGCCUGAGAGGGUGGACGGCCACAUUGGGACUGAGAGACGGCCCAGACUCCUACGGGAGGCAGCAGUGGGGAAUAUUGCACAAUGGGCGCAAGCCUGAUGCAGCGACGCCGCGUGGGGGAUGACGGCCUUCGGGUUGUAAACUCCUUUCGCUAGGGACGAAGCUUUUUGUGACGGUACCUAGAUAAGAAGCACCGGCUAACUACGUG
rnacentral:rRNA from 1 species